UGCAUCUGCGCUUGCUUACCACUGCUGUGUCCUCACACCCUGUAGAAAGAAGAGGCAGAGUAGACCUCCCCGGUGUACACCCCAGCUCAGGCUUUGCGCUUGGUCUGUACUGUGAAUAGGGGGACAUGG
ensembl:snoRNA